rnacentral:misc_RNA from 1 species
AAGUCGUAACAAGGUUUCCGUAGGUGAACCUGCGGAAGGAUCAUUAACACAUCCCUUUCAUAUCUACCUUGUCGCACUGGUCUUCAAUGAACCUUUACUGAAGUAAGUCUAGAUUAAGGUCAUGGUUGGAUUCUUUUCUCUCUGCUUCGGCGAGAGAGGGAUUGGCCUUUCUAGAUAGCACUCUUCUUGAGGUGCAACUUACGCAGUCUUGGUAUAUCAGUCCCUAACCAUGACUGGCCCCUUUUUCUCUUUUUUAACCAUGAUUUUUAUUCUGAAUCGGUUUAGAUUGAGAAGGGCUUCUGAUUGGAAGUCUGCCUCUCUGAGCCUUUAAUGGAGAAAUCCAUUAAAAAUUAAAAUAAAACACAACUCUUAACAGCGGAUAUCUCGGUUCUC